rnacentral:rRNA from 1 species
AUUGAACGCUGGCGGCAGGCUUAACACAUGCAAGUCGAGCGGGGGAAGGUAGCUUGCUACCGGACCUAGCGGCGGACGGGUGAGUAAUGCUUAGGAAUCUGCCUAUUAGUGGGGGACAACAUCUCGAAAGGGAUGCUAAUACCGCAUACGUACUACGGGAGAAAGCAGGGGAUCUUCGGACCUUGCGCUAAUAGAUGAGCCUACGUCGGAUUAGCUAGUUGGUGGGGUAAAGGCCUACCAAGGCGACGAUCUGUAGCGGGUCUGAGAGGAUGAUCCGCCACACUGGGACUGAGACACGGCCCAGACUCCUACGGGAGGCAGCAGUGGGGAAUAUUGGACAAUGGGGGGAACCCUGAUCCAGCCAUGCCGCGUGUGUGAAGAAGGCCUUAUGGUUGUAAAGCACUUUAAGCGAGGAGGAGGCUACUUUAGUUAAUACCUAGAGAUAGUGGACGUUACUCGCAGAAUAAGCACCGGCUAACUCUGUGCCAGCAGCCGCGGUAA